CCCUUAGAUGUUCUGGGCCGCACGCGCGCUACACUGAUGCAUUCAACGAGCCUAUCCUUGACCGACAGGUCCGGGUAAUCUUUGAAUCUGCAUCGUGACGGGGAUAGAUUAUUGCAAUUAUUAAUCUUCAACGAGGAAUGCCUAGUAGGCGCAAGUCAUCAGCUCGCGUUGAUUACGUCCCUGCCCUUUGUACACACCGCCCGUCGCUACUACCGAUUGAAUGGUUUAGUGAGGACUCCUGAUUGGCGCCGCCGCCCCGGCAACGGAGCAGCGGACUGCCGAAAAGUUGUUCAAACUUGAUCAUUUAGAGGAAGUAAAAGUCGUAACA
rnacentral:rRNA from 1 species